rnacentral:lncRNA from 1 species
UCGUGCAUGCAGCCACCGCCGCAUGCAGCACCCUCUCAUCCUUCGCAUGCGACCGAACCCUUCUCUCUUUCAUUCUCUUCUCUCUUCUUCUUUCUACUCCGGUCGCGGCACCACUCGCUCACGGUUUCUUCUUCUUCGGCAGGAUCACCAAUGGCAAUCCCUCCCUCCCUCGGGCUUGCGAUGGCCGUCGCGAGAUACCCUCUCCGGUGGAGAUCGCGCAAGGGCGAUCUCCACUUCUCUUCCCCCAUGCCGGCACUAGCCGCCUAAAUGAAGGAAAACAUUAAUCAGGUUUCCCUUAAAAGCUCUUCCUUCUGGCCGUUAGAUCUCCACGGUGAGAUCUGGGACGUUCGAUUAAGGCAGGGGCAAUUUCGUCUUUUUACCCCUCAUAUCAUGGCCACACAAUUUAGGAUUUUAUUAAGGGCAAAAGGGUCUUUUUGCGCCUUUAAGAUCUCACACGAUUUGGCGUUCGUUUGAAUUUCAAGUAAGAAUAGAUCUAGGCGGUCUGAUCGAAUUGGGCGGGAAAUAAUAUGAGCUGUUGGAUCGUGAUCUACAUAAAAGCGAAUCCUCGCCGCACGAUUGUGAUACACGCGGACCGUUGGAUCGCGAUCCGCGUGAGGUGGUUCCCUAGCCAUCGGAUCGGCUCGCCCAGACGUGAUAAUGGUCGUUUAUCAGAAACACAAAGAGAAGGAUUCGUGGCCACAGGAUCAAAUACUCCUCUGUACAUGCAGAUCGUUGGAUCUACAUCACGCAGAUCGCCACAAGGGCAGCCAUGGGUGCGUAGGCUUGCCCUCGUGUCCGCCGCACGACAUUAGGCUGUUGGCCGCGUUACCACAUCACCUGCUGAUGUGGCCGAACUUCCUAAAAUUGCAAAAAGCACCAGUUUUCUGUAUUUUUGUUCAAUUAGGUCAUCGGAUCCUGUUUUGGGCCCAAACAACUUCCAAUAUUUCCGAUAAUUCGCACAUAGGUUCCUAAAUUCUUAUUUAAUCUAAUUUUUGGCUUAAAUAUUAUUUGUAAUUAUCCUGAUAUUUAUUUUAAUUAUUUAUUUUUAUAUUUACUUAAUUUAAUGUCCCUUAAUCUGUUUUAAAUUAAUUGUAUAAUGUUCUCUCUUAUUUAAUAUAUUAAUUUUCAGUUUCUCCUA